UGACGCCUAGAGAGAGGGAGAACCCAAAGCGGCUGCUGCCUCAGGAGGCCGUAGUUCUGGGCGCCGUCGACCUUCCCUGAGGGCUUCGAUUGGUCCCCUCAGGGCUGAGCACCGGCCUCGUGCCACUCGCCUUACAGACCCCGUCUGGCCGCGCGUCGCAGACCCAGUUGCCUUGCUGCCAGAAUGAGCUGAGGUCUGAAAAUUGCUCAGCAGGAUCAGGCAUAGCAGGGGCCUCUCCUCUCGUGGUUUCGCUUGCCAAUGACUGCUGUCUUGAUAACUGAUGUUUUCAUUGUUAGUUCAAAUGCCAGCUUUCCUGCGCAGUCAAGGUAGAUGUCAAGUACAGGAGGGAGGCCAGGCCUUCGGCAUAUCAAGACUUCUUUGCCCUGGGCUCAUUUAACCCACUAUUGUGCACCUGGCCAACGAUUAGCAUUUAAUGGCAACAGUGAAGCCUAUAGUCUCGGAGAGGUGCCGGUAUCUGAGGCUGCUGCUGAAGGAAGAAGCAAACACAGCAAAAUAGAUAUAUCUGCCUUGGUUCAUAAGGAUCACAGACGGAAAUACUUUUUACCCCCUGUGGACAUGCUGGGAUUUUAGAGCUGAUGCUAUUAAUCAAUCUGUCCUAAAACAGAAAUAGUUGCAAAUAUGUAAUAUACAGUAUCUGUGGCAUAGAAAACAAACCUUUAACAAGCCUGUUUGUUUUUUUUUAAAGUUGGAAAAUGUUGCCAGCCUGUUUUUGAUGUAAUUGAAAAUGUUUAGAAGCUUUCCUAAAGAGUUGAUUAAUAUAUCAAAAUCAAAAAAGGCAA